rnacentral:lncRNA from 1 species
CAGCCCUAGAAAAGAAGAUGGAGAGAUUGGCCUCUUCUGUUUUCCUUACCCUUCCUGCAACACCACUCUCUCCUACAUAUAGGUUCGUUUCUAUUCCCACCUACUCCUAACAUAUUCUUUUUUUUAGUGAAUUGCAAAGUGGUUGAAGCUCAUUUGCACUUGUCUGAAUUCUUUUACUUUAAGUUUGUUUAUCGACACUUUCACUUUAUAUUUGUUAUUGCAUUAUUAGAACAUCAUUGUCUCUUUUGAUGAUGAUAGUCUUCAUGUUGCCUCGCUGUAAUGUUGAACUCAGAAAUUUACAUACAUCCUACAACUAUGCCAACGGAAAAUGUCUGUGCUGUCGAUGGGACGGUGGAAUUGGCAACCUUUUUAACUAUCAUAUUAUUAUCUUUGGAUUAUAAGUUUGGUUGUUUAAGCAUGUCUGUAAUCUAAAACUCCCCACAAUUUACCCCAAUGAGCUCGAAUCUCCAUGGUUUCGUUCAAGGCAAUGGAAAUUUCGAACUGUGAUAAAAUAAUCAUUGAUUUUAAAAUUUUAAGAGAUUUUUAGUGAGAACUUGCAGCAAAGUUAAAGUUUAAGCACCGGCAACCCAACUCCAAAAAAAAAGUUGGCACCUCAAAGUUGAAGUCCUGGAAGAGUUUUCAUGCUAAUAAUGAUGUUGCGAUAGAUAUAACUUUUUAGCUCAGUAUGCAACAAUCUAAUGGAUGGUUGGAGUUACAUAAAACAGUUUAGAGGUAGAGUGCCCAAUGAGAGAAUCUAUCCGACAAACGAUAUGUGAUACCCACAACAAUACUGAUUUCAGGUCCUCAUAUCUGUCUAUUAUAAUAGAUGACAAUGUAAAACAUGUCAUGAUGAAUAAGAAAGAGUUUACAUUUGUUAGGUAAAAGGUUGAUACCAAUCAUGCUUACAACUAUCCCCAAGAUCUUGAAUUGAUUCUAUAACAAGCCAAUCCAAGCCAAGCAUGAUAGAUGUUAUGCUUGUGUGUGUUUGUGUGGGUUUAUAUGUUUAUAUAGAUAUAUUACGCCCUCAGUCCCUGGUAAUAUUAAAGACACGUCUAGGCACAUUCUGAUCCGCCUAAGCAAGUGACUCAACUUCCUUGCUUGGGCUGAGGCACAGUGUCUCGUCUUCAAAGAGGUGCCCACCUCUUGCCUUAUGAGGCUAUCUGAGGCAGGAGGUGCUAAAUAGGCGCACUUCAACUCUGUCCACUUAUGUUGUUUCAAGCAAUAAAGGUUGCAUCCUGUUGAUUACAGGGUCCCCAAAAGUAUAAGUGCUACUAUUACUUGUACUCUGUUGUAUAUUAUCUGCUGAAAGAUCUGCCACAGAAAGGCUCUCAAGUCUAAACUAAUGCCUAAAGGAAGUUUGGAGAGCACAACACCCAUAGUUUGGACAUCUUGCUAUCAGCUUCCCUGCUAUUUUUUGGAUGAUUAUAUGGUGAACUUGUUUUCCUUUUCUUUUUUGUUAUUGCUAUUUAAGUUCCUUUUUAUGGUUUUCACAGAAAUCGCAGCUGCUGUCUUAUAAGGUUUCUUUAUCUGCAGGGAUCAAUUAAACAUGAUUCUCUUUGCUAGUUGCUAUGCUCCCCCGGUCCAAGAGAAAACAUUAGCUCAAUUGCAAGUUGUACGUAGUAUCUGGAUUGUAAAGGUUUGCUAGAGGCAUAAAUACACCACGAUAUGAACAAGUGACAGACGAAGAAAAUUUCUAUCAACCACUUCUGCGUAUUUGGUUUUUACAUUUAGGUACUUGUGAUAAGUUCUUUAUUAGCCUGUUGUUGGAAAUAUGUGAAGAGCAAAUUUAUGCUAGCAAUGUUUACAUUGUUAGAAAUCAGAACAGAAAAGAGGCGUAUCUGUUUCAUAUCUGCUGCCCAAAUAACUUUUUUUAGAAAUAGAAUCACAGGGAUUGCAAUAGAUUUCAAUUCUUGAAACAAGGUAGUUAUCAAAGUAUAUAUGGAAUACAGAAAUCUUAAUAAGCUUUCACAGAGGGAUUCCUAGGAGUAGACAAAGAACCACCGUCCUUAUUUGCACAGCUUUUACCAUUCCUCAAGGCCAUCGCGACCAAAAACUUCUCUUUUGUUUCGCGGCUAACCCUGGCUGAUGAAAUACUGCUGUUUUUGCAGGCGUGGUCCGCUGGAAACCGGUGAUUGAGACACACUCUGGUCUGGCAAGUCUUGCAGGUGCUAGUAUUAGAAAAGGUCAAAAUUUCCUUGCACCUCUUGACAGAACAGGUGGGCUUCUUCUUCUUGCUGGGGUCACAAUCUCCUGACCU